AAAGGAAUAGACGGGGGCCCGCACAAGCGGUGGAGCAUGUGGUUUAAUUCGAUGCAACGCGAAGAACCUUACCAUCCCUUGACAUCCUGCGAACUUUCUAGAGAUAGAUUGGUGCCUUCGGGAACGCAGUGACAGGUGCUGCAUGGCUGUCGUCAGCUCGUGUCGUGAGAUGUUGGGUUAAGUCCCGCAACGAGCGCAACCCUUAUCUUUAGUUGCUACCAUUCAGUUGAGAACUCUAAAGAGACUGCCGGUGAUAAACCGGAGGAAGGCGGGGACGACGUCAAGUCAUCAUGGCCCUUAUGGGAUGGGCUACACACGUGCUACAAUGGGAGGUACAAAGAGCGGCCAGCUGGCGACAGUGAGCGAAUCUCAUAAAACCUCUCGUAGUCCGGAUCGGAGUCUGCAACUCGACUCCGUGAAGUCGGAAUCGCUAGUAAUCGUGAAUCAGAAUGUCACGGUGAAUACGUUCCCGGGCCUUGUACACACCGCCCGU
rnacentral:rRNA from 1 species